CGACAACGCACACUUUAUUGUAAUUUCAAAAACAUUUAUAUAUAAACAAUAAUAAGUGGUUUAUUUUUUUGUGGAGCCGCCAACAAAAAAGAUAACAAAAAUACCGAACCACAUAAGUGAAUUCAAAUUCGCCAGGACAAUAAAAACAAACAAAAACGGCAUUUUCAACCAUUAGAACGAGCGGAAAACAACUCUCUUACUAAACAUACAAUUAAAAGCUACAUCAGCUGUAAGUUUCUAGAGAUAUAAAUUUCACUGUUUUCUAGUUUAUACGUUAAGAGAAAUCACUACUGUACAACUGUUGAUUACAUAUUGGAAAAAUAUGUUGGUUUUGCUGUGUUGCCUCUUUUAAACUUCUUUGAUAAAUUGCAUACAUCUACAAGAAAUACAAGUAUU
rnacentral:lncRNA from 1 species